rnacentral:lncRNA from 1 species
CGAGGGUGAAUGAAUGAAUGAACGAACGAACGAACGAACGAGGGUUUAUUGAUAAACGAAAAAUGCAUUUUCUAAUGAUUGGAGGAAUAAGGGGAAAUGUCAGGAGAACGAAUGAACGAAAUAACGAAUUGCUCCUUGUGAGCCGUAUCCUUUUAAUGAAUGUGUUACUAUCGCUUUCCAUUGUAAAUGUUUCUUGAAUUAUUGAUACUCCAUGUUU